CAGCCUGCUUGCUUUGCCACGCCGGACUGAGACCGGAAAAGAGGAGGCAAGGCGGGUUGGGCGCCACCAUGACAACCUACAUCGGAAGAGGCCAGUCCUCCUCGGAGACUGCACUGUCUGGGCCACGAGAGGCGGAGCCUGGACACUGCGGAGAUAGAGCAAAAGAACCAGAACUGGUCUUCAUUCCUGCUGAUUGAACACCUGGUGGACUAAAGUAGAAAAUAUGGAUGAAUGACAAGCUAUGGUAUCCAAGACUGAAAAAUAAUCACUACAUUAUUUUCUUCUGGCUGAAUAUACAUGAACACGAUGGUUCUAGGGAACAGUAAGAUGACCCUCAGGUGGGAUGCACAAGUUCCAGUGUUUAUUUGCCAGCAGAGGGCAUUCCCACAACAUACAUGGUUGUUCAGGCAUAGGAAGUAAUGAUGAUGCAGGCUAGAAUAGUAAGGAUAUUCAAUGAGUGAUCAGUGAGUGAUUAACAUAACAUCUUCAAUUCAGUAGGAUCAGUGUCCACAAGGAGCUUGAUAAUGACCAGGACAUCAAAAAGAAAAUAAUCCACACAGCAGUGGUCACAUAGAGGCCAAACAAUGGACAGUGAAGCCUGACGGAGAGAGUUGGCAAGCCCUGUAAACAAGGACAUGGCUGCAAGAAGGUGACAGAUCUGUUGGUGCAUGAUUGUAGCAGAGUGGAGGGACCAGCAGAUGACAACAUAAUGGUCAACAACCAAUACAGUAAAAAGCACACACUCCAUGGAGCCAAAAGCCAAAGCCACAGAAUACUGAACAAUGCAGCUUAUGUAGCUGAUAUUCUUAACUUCUCCACAAGCUUACCAUUAUUUGAGGAACAACGCAGUUAGUAAAAUGCAUGUCCAAAAUUGAGAGGUUUGGGAAGAAGAAGUACAUUGGGGUGUGGAGCCUGCUAUCCAGGAGGGAAAUUAAGAUGAUGGCUGCGUUGCCUGUGAGUGUCAUCACGUAGAACCCAGAAACAAAGAAAGGAUGAACUCAACCUGGGGAUACUCUGAGAAGUCAACUAAGAUAAUGUCUUCCCCUGAGCUGACAUUAUUUUCACCAUCUUCUUAUUUCAUAGCAACUGAAAUAAAAUCAAGUAUUCUCUCUAUAUUGCCAAAACAGAUGGACAAAAAUUAGUCAAUUUUUACAUAAUAGUCCCUACUAAUUCAUAGGUUUUUCUAACAAUUCCAAACAAUGAGAACUCAAAUUUCCUGAUGUAUAAAAUAAUUUAAAUGAUUUAAAUGUAAAUCCAAAGUCACAAAGAAUGCAAAAACUUGAUGGAAGUAGCCUAAAAGUACAUUAAGGUCUUUUAGGUGCUUCACUUGAUCCCAUUAAUUAAAUAUUUAUCUAGGAAGCCUAUAGUUUCUAUUUCACUUAGAUAUCCACUCUUAAUUGGUACACUCUUGACUAGUGUAGGAACAAUGAGAGAAAAAACCAAGUGAUAAUAAAAAUGAAACCAAAACUGGGAUAUGGUAGUCGAUGUGAUAAAUUAAUUCGCCCUGGCAAUGAGUAUGAUACAAUAGUGACUGUGAUAUUAAAAUAAGCAGUGAGUGUUGGACCAAACUGACACAGCCACAACGAUAAAAUUUUUGUAUAUAGUUUCAAUUGGUUUCAUGAAACCAAUAAGGUAAUUUAUUCUUGUUUCCCUCACAAAUACUAGUUUGCUUUAUAUUCUGUUGACAUAAAACAAAUAGAUGACUAGUUGUUUCUUUAGCAAACAUGAGGUUAUUCAAGAUCAAGAAGUAACUGCAUUUCCAGAUUUGCAACCAAGGUGAGACAUGUGCAUGUCCCCCACAAAAAAUGGAGAGAGCUGUUUUAAAUAGGGGCAAAUGAAUUUGAGAUAGCUCUAGUAAACAGAGUCCACUGGAAAAAUUAAAGAGUUUGAAGUACAGUAGCUUUUCAUUGGGUAAGUUGUGACAGUUUCUUAUUGGCUGAGCUCUUGAAGGAAGGAAGAGGAAGUCUUUUUCGUUUGGGGCUCUGUUAUUGUUAUAGGUGUGAAAAGCUUCCCUGUCUGACAUCCAGACUAUCUUAAGUGAGAUUUCCUUUUAUUAUUUCUUGACAAUUUCUCCCUUUUGAUCAAGAUUGUUCUCUGAAAGCAUCACAGAUUGAGAGUCAGGUUUUCUGGUUCCAGUGACUUUUUAUCCCUCGAUGCGAAGAAGGACAUUCCUGGAUGUACUGUCCUACAUCAAAUGGAAAUUGCACAGAUUUGAAACCUAUUGACGUUCACAUCUGAAUCACAGGGAAUUGUAAGAAGGAGAACGCUGAAGUACUUAUUAUGUGAAGUCCCUAAGUUAACAAGAUUACAGAGAUUGGUGAUCAUCUUUAGCAUUGUGUCAUCAUCAAAGAGGAAUUUCCAACAGACCUGUUCUAUAUAUCUUGGGAAAGCUAUCUCAUCAGAUGUCAGCUGCUUCAGUUCUGGGAAAUCUUUACUUUCAGGUCAACAGAUGGCUGUCAGUUUGAGUCAAAGUUUCGUGCUUUCUUUAGGUGUGUUUGUGAAUCCAAGAGUCUAUUUCCUGAAAUUUGGUGACACAAAGGUUGGUUAUCAGUACCUGAUAGAGGCCUUACAAGCGAGUUUGAAGAUAGUCCUUCUGGAGCAGCUGUCCCCAACUUUUUUGGCACCAGGGACCGUUUCAUGGAAGACAAUUUUUCCACAGACGGAUCGGGGGCAGGGGGAUGGUUCAGGCGGUAAUGCGAGU